UAGGGAAUCUUCCACAAUGGACGCAAGUCUGAUGGAGCAACGCCGCGUGAGUGAAGAAGGCUUUCGGGUCGUAAAACUCUGUUAUUGAAGAAGAACGUGUGUGACAGUAACUGGUCAUGCAGUGACGGUAUUCAAUCAGAAAGUCGACGGCUAACUACGUGCCAGCAGCCGGCGGUAAUACGUAGGUGGCAAGCGUUGUCCGGAUUUAUUG
rnacentral:rRNA from 1 species